UUCCCCAAAAGUGAUACUUAUAUAAAAAAUAUAUAACAGAUCAAUAUUAAAGCAUGUAUGCAGUUUUGUUAAGACACAAGACCAGGUUCAUACCACUUAGAAAAUAAUUUUGCCCAAACAAUUCAUUCAAACACUCUAUAAACAUGAUACAUGUAGAAGUCUUACAUUUUGUUUACAUGUUGAUUAAUAUUACCAUGACGAUUAU
rnacentral:lncRNA from 1 species